rnacentral:rRNA from 1 species
GCCAGACUCCUACGGGAGGCAGCAGUGGGGGAUAUUGCACAAUGGGGGAAACCCUGAUGCAGCGACGCCGCGUGAGGGAAGACGGCCUUCGGGUUGUAAACCUCUGUCGCAGGGGACGAAGGAAGUGACGGUACCCUGUGAGGAAGCCACGGCUAACUACGUGCCAGCAGCCGCGGUAAUACGUAGGUGGCGAGCGUUGUCCGGAAUUACUGGGUGUAAAGGGAGCGUAGGCGGGAGUGCAAGUCAGAUGUGAAAACUAUGGGCUCAACCCAUAGCCUGCAUUUGAAACUGUAUUUCUUGAGUGCUGGAGAGGCAAUCGGAAUUCCGUGUGUAGCGGUGAAAUGCGUAGAUAUACGGAGGAACACCAGUGGCGAAGGCGGAUUGCUGGACAGUAACUGACGCUGAGGCGCGAAAGCGUGGGGAGCAAACAGGAUUAGAUACCCCUGUA